GGCCUUACGCUGGCGGCGUGCUUAACACAUGCAAGUCGAACGAAGUCCAUCCGGUGGCAACACCGGUGAAGACUGAGUGGCGAACGGGUGCGGAACACGUGAGCAACCUGCCCCAAAGACCGGGAUAACACCGGGAAACUGGUGCUAAUACCGGAUACCCCCACGAGCUCGCAUGGGCUUGUGAGGAAAGGGUUUCCGCUUUGGGAGGGGCUCGCGGCCUAUCAGCUAGUUGGUGAGGUAACGGCUCACCAAGGCGACGACGGGUAGCUGGUCUGAGAGGACGAUCAGCCACACUGGGACUGAGACACGGCCCAGACUCCUACGGGAGGCAGCAGUGGGGAAUCUUGCGCAAUGGGCGAAAGCCUGACGCAGCAACGCCGCGUGGGGGAUGAAGGCCUUCGGGUUGUAAACCCCUUUCAGUGGGAACGAAAUUGACGGUACCCACAGAAGAAGCCCCGGCCAACUACGUGCCAGCAGCCGCGGUGAUACGUAAGGGGCGAGCGUUGUCCGGAUUUAUUGGGCGUAAAGAGCUCGUAGGCGGCUUGGUAAGUCGGGUGUGAAACCUCCAGGCUCAACCUGGAGACGCCACUCGAUACUGCCCUGGCUAGAGUCCGGUAGGGGAUCACGGAAUUCCUGGUGUAGCGGUGAAAUGCGCAGAUAUCAGGAGGAACACCAGUGGCGAAAGCCGUGAUCUGGGCCCGGUACUUGACGCUU
rnacentral:rRNA from 1 species